CAUCGUUUGGGCCAGGAGCCCCGCACGAGCACCCAGCCCCAGCCCCAGCCCCGUUCUCGGCUUCUCGCGUCUUCUUCCCCCUUUCCGUUCCAAUUCCAACUGCAACUGGCCGCGCCCGCCGCCGCCGCGGUUCCCGUAGCUGGGGUUCAGACGCUCCGUCCUACUCCCGCGCCACGUCUCCUCUGGGCCACUUAACAAUCUCGGUAACGCACGACUUCCCCGCCAGUUUCAGUCCCGCCCCCGACAUCUUCCACCACCGGGUCCGGGGGGCCAUCUGCCGUGCUUGCCACCCCGCGGUCGCGAUCGAUGAUUCCUCGAGAGCAGCCGCCAGGUAUGUUCCGGCCGCCGAAUGCCUUUGGGGCGCCGCCCCCCUUUCUUCCUCAGCCUCCACCGUUGCAGUGGCAGUGGCAGCAACCGCCCCCGCCCCCGCCCUCGCCCUCGCCCUCGCCUGCGGUUACCUUCUGGCAGCGAGACAAUGUGCGGGAUCAUGUGAGGAAGCUGCAACAGACCAUCGAGUUAUCAACUGCGCUAAUAAAAGAGCUCGAGGAAAUUGCGGCGGCCGGAAAUCCUGGUGAUGGUGCCACAGAAACACGAAAAUCUGCUUCGUCCUCGGCGGAAUUGCCGUGGGGGUCCGGCGAUUCUUCAGAGGACAAGCGCCUCGGUUUCGUUGAGCUGGCUAGGUCCAUGGGGAUUAGUCAGGACACUCAUGAGUCGAUGGCAACAGAUGCAGCCAAUUACCUUUGCCACCAGCUUCAGCAUCUUCUUGGGCCUAUCUCUUCUGCGACGAGCCAAAGUGGCCCCUGGGAGGAGAGGUCGGCGAUGGUUAGGUUGACUCAGAAGCUGCAGAAAUCUAAGAGAAAUAAGCGGUGGCGGCAGAGGAGAAGGAAGCAUGUUGCGGAGCUUUUUCAGAAGGAGCGUGCGGAUUAUGAUAGAGUUGACCGGGAAGCUGAUGAAUGGAGGGCUAAGCAAAUAGCCAAGGACAUUGCAAAGCGGAGGGUGGAAAGCAUGCAGCAGAUUGCUAGAAAGAAAACAAAUGAGGAAAGAAAGCGCCUAGAAUCUGAGCUGGAGCUUGCCCUAAUGGUCGAGAAACUUCAGGAGCUUCGGUCUAUAAGAGUUCAAAAAAUGAAGAAACAAGGCCAUUUUCUUCCUGAAGAGGAUGAUAAAUACCUCGAGCGUGUUAAGGCUGCAGUUGAGGAAGAGGAGCGCCAAGCUGCAUCUGCUGCUCGGACUGAUGCUGUUAAGGAUGCUAUUCUGACUGCUGAGGAGUCAAGGAAGCCUCUACAGUAUACAAAUUCUCAGGAAGGUGGUUCUGAACAGCCUAAAAGUGGACCAUCUGAAGACGAGGACCAGGGAGAUGGUGGGAUGAGUGAGAGAAAUGACCAGGCAAGCCAAAAAACAGAACAUGAAGAUGAAGGUCAUAGAUUUGAGGGGAAAGGGCAUGGACAUCAUGACCCUGUCAGCAAUCUGCCUUUUGAGUUCUACCAUUAUUAUCAUGGAAGUGACUAUGACAUGGGGACACUCAUUGAGGUCCGCAGAAUGUGGGAUUCUUUCAUCAGACCUGGAGGAAGCCGUAUACCUGGGCACUGGGUUCCACCACCCCCUCCAGCUGAUGAGGUUUGGGCAUCUUAUUUGGUGCAGCACAAGUAAAUCACCAUGGGUAUGAGAAAUGGUCUUUUCUGCUUCAAAACCACCGGAAUCUUUAAUGGUUCCUGCAAGGAUGUGAUAUUUUACAUAAUAUAUGUCCAUUUGUGGCAUGUGUGAUGUCAACUCCUGAAUAUUAAAAUUUGAAUUUGAAAGCUCCAUAAUCCUGGCUUAUAAGUUGUGGAGAGGAAACACUAGCAAAGGCUCCUUUUUUUUAGUUGUGGAAACCUUUUUCUAUGUGAAGAACUGAAGAUUGCCAGCAAAAGGUUCAUUCCUGAUCAAGUUGAGUUGUCCAUUGUCA